GGAGGGCAAGUCUGGUGCCAGCAGCCGCGGUAAUUCCAGCUCCAAUAGCGUAUAUUAAAGUUGUUGCAGUUAAAAAGCUCGUAGUUGAACCUUGGGCCUGGCUGGCCGGUCCGUCCAACCGCGUGCACUGGUUCGGCCGGGCCUUUCCCUCUGGGGAACCCUAUGGUCUUCACUGAUCGUAGCGGGGAACCAGGACUUUUACUGUGAAAAAAUUAGAGUGUUCAAAGCAGGCCUAUGCUCGAAUACAUUAGCAUGGAAUAAUAAAAUAGGACGUGUGGUUCUAUUUUGUUGGUUUCUAGGACCGCCGUAAUGAUUAAUAGGGACAGUCGGGGGCAUCAGUAUUCAAUUGUCAGAGGUGAAAUUCUUGGAUUUAUUGAAGACUAACUACUGCGAAAGCAUUUGCCAAGGAUGUUUUCAUUAAUCAGGAACGAAAGUUAGGGGAUCGAAGACGAUCAGAUACCGUCGUAGUCUUAACCAUAAACUAUGCCGACUAGGGAUCGGACGGUGUUAUUUUUUGACCCGUUCGGCACCUUAGGGAAAC
rnacentral:rRNA from 1 species